GGCAUGCUUUACACAUGCAAGUCGGGCGGCAGCACAGAGAAGCUUGCUUCUUGGGUGGCGAGUGGCGAACGGGUGAGUAACAUAUCGGAACGUACCGAGUAAUGGGGGAUAACUAAUCGAAAGAUUAGCUAAUACCGCAUAUUCUCUGAGGAGGAAAGCAGGGGACCUUCGGGCCUUGCGUUAUUCGAGCGGCCGAUAUCUGAUUAGCUAGUUGGUGGGGUAAAGGCCUACCAAGGCGACGAUCAGUAGCGGGUCUGAGAGGAUGAUCCGCCACACUGGGACUGAGACACGGCCCAGACUCCUACGGGAGGCAGCAGUGGGGAAUUUUGGACAAUGGGCGCAAGCCUGAUCCAGCCAUGCCGCGUGUCUGAUGAAGGCCUUCGGGUUGUAAAGGACUUUUGUCAGGGAAGAAAAGGCUGUUGCUAAUAUCGACAGCUGAUGACGGUACCUGAAGAAUAAGCACCGGCUAACUACGUGCCAGCAGCCGCGGUAAUACGUAGGGUGCGAGCGUUAAUCGGAAUUACUGGGCGUAAAGCGAGCGCAGACGGUUACUUAAGCAGGAUGUGAAAUCCCCGGGCUCAACCUGGGAACUGCGUUCUGAACUGGGUAACUAGAGUGUGUCAGAGGGAGGUAGAAUUCCACGUGUAGCAGUGAAAUGCGUAGAGACGUGGAGAAUACCGAUGGCGGAGGCAGCCUCCUGGGAUACACUGACGUCAUGCUCGAAAGCGUGGNUAGCAAACAGGAUUAGAUACCUGGUAGUCCACGCCCUAAACGAUGUCAUUAGCUGUUGGGCAACUUGAUUGCUUAGUAGCGUAGCUAACGCGUGAAAUUGACCGCCUGGGGAGUACGGUCGCAAGAUUAAAACUCAAAGGAAUUGACGGGGACCCGCACAAGCGGUGGAUGAUGUGGAUUAAUUCGAUGCAACGCAAAGAACCUUACCUGGUCUUGACGUGUACGGAAUCCUCCAGAGACGGAGGAGUGCCUUCGGGAGCCGUAACACAGGUGCUGCAUGGCUGUCGUCAGCUCGUGUCGUGAGAUGUUGGGUUAAGUCCCGCAACGAGCGCAACCCUUGUCAUUAGUUGCCAUCAUUUAGUUGGGCACUCUAAUGAGACUGCCGGUGACAAGCCGGAGGAAGGUGGGGAUGAUGUCAAGUCCUCAUGGCCCUUAUGACCAGGGCUUCACACGUCAUACAAUGGUCGGCACAGAGGGUAGCCAAGCCGCGAGGUGGAGCCAAUCUCACAAAACCGAUCGUAGUCCGGAUUGCACUCUGCAACUCGAGUGCAUGAAGUCGGAAUCGCUAGUAAUCGCAGGUCAGCAUACUGCGGUGAAUACGUUCCCGGGUCUUGUACACACCGCCCGUCACACCAUGGGAGUGGGGGAUACCAGAAGUAGGUAGGGUAACCGCAAGGAGCCCGCUUACCACGGUAUGCUUCAUGACUGGAGUGAAGUCGUAACAAGGUA
rnacentral:rRNA from 1 species